rnacentral:rRNA from 1 species
GAUGAACGCUGGCAGCGUGCCUAAUACAUGCAAGUUGAACGAAGCACUUAAGUUUGAUUCUUCGGAUGAAGACUUUUGUGACUGAGUGGCGGACGGGUGAGUAACGCGUGGGUAACCUGCCUCAUACAGGGGGAUAACAGUUAGAAAUGGCUGCUAAUACCGCAUCAGAACACAGCCCCGCAUGGUGCAGGGGUAACAACUCCGGUGGUAUGAGAUGGACCCGCGUCUGACUAGCUAGUUGGUGUGGUAACGGCCUACCAAGGCGACGAGCAGGACGCGACCUGAGAGGGUGACCGCCCAGAUUGGGACUGAGACACAGCCCAAACUCCUGCGGGAGGCAGCAGUGGGGAAUAUUGCACAAUGGGGGAAACCCUGAUGCAGCGACGCCGCGUGAAGGAUGAAGUAUUUCGGUAUGUAAACUUCUAUCAGCAGGGAAGAAAAUGACGGUACCUGACUAAGAAGCCCCGGCUAACUACGUGCCAGCCGCCGCCGUAACAC